rnacentral:rRNA from 1 species
CCCUACGGGGGGCAGCAGUGGGGAAUUUUGCGCAAUGGGCGAAAGCCUGACGCAGCAACGCCGCGUGGAGGAUGAAGGCCUUCGGGUCGUAAACUCCUGUCGAUGGGGACGAAAGCCCAGCAAUGGGUUUGACUGUACCCGUUGAGGAAGCCACGGCUAACUCCGUGCCAGCAGCCGCGGUAAUACGGAGGUGGCAAGCGUUGUUCGGAAUUACUGGGCGUAAAGGGCGCGUAGGCGGCAAGGCAAGUCAGAUGUGAAAGCCCCGGGCUUAACUCGGGAAUUGCAUCUGAAACUGCUUUGCUUGAGUCCUGGAGGGGGUAGUGGAAUUCCCAGUGUAGCGGUGAAAUGCGUAGAUAUUGGGAGGAACACCUGCGGCGAAGGCGGCUACCUGGACAGUGACUGACGCUGAGGCGCGAAAGCUAGGGGAGCGAACAGGAUUAGAUACCCCGGUAGC